rnacentral:lncRNA from 10 species
UUCACAGAGCUGGCUUUAAAUGAAAUAAUUCUUGUAAAGCAGUUAGCACAAAGUACUUGGCUCAUGCUGCCACCCGGGUUACCAUGGAGAGAGGUGUCAUGGGCUGAGCCUCCCAGUGGAAAAUCGCUUAUAUACCUAUGACCACACAACCAUCCUGGCCGUGGUGGCUGUGGUGCUGUCAUCUGUCUGUCUGCUGGUCAUCG